AAGCUCCUGAACUUACACAGUGUAAGACAUUUCUACUACUUGAUAUUGUUGCUUUAGUUUGAAGUAGAUGCAUUUUUUAUUCAUAAUAAAUUUUAGUUAAAACAAUGCGUGACCUAUGAAAUGGGGUCAUCCCAGAAUCAUGCUUCCUUGAUGUUUAAUAGACCAAAUGUUUUGAAGUUUCUAGAUUUGUUAGCCAUGUCAUCACACUUUGAUUCUAAUUUUGACCAACAGGUGGCUGAGCAGAAUCAUGAUGCG
rnacentral:misc_RNA from 1 species